rnacentral:rRNA from 1 species
GNAGGGAGCGAGCGNNGUCCGGAANNACUGGGUGUAAAGGGAGCGUAGGCGGGAUCGCAAGNCAGAUGNGAAAACNAUGGGCNNAACCCAUAAACNGCAUNUGAAACNGUGGNNCUUGAGUGAAGUAGAGGNAAGCGGAAUNCCUAGUGUAGCGGUGAAAUGCGUAGAUAUUAGGAGGAACAUCAGUGGCGAAGGCGGCUUACUGGGCUUUAACUGACGCUGAGGCUCGAAAGCGUGGGGAGCAAACAGGAUUAGAUACCCUGGUAGUCCACGCCGUAAACGAUGAUUACUAGGUGUGGGGGGACUGACCCCUUCCGUGCCGCAGCAAACGCAAUAAGUAAUCCACCUGGGGAGU